CACAAGCGUCCUUUGUCCAGAGUGGCCAUAAAACUGGGAAAGAUUGCCAAUCAGCAGUGUGAGGUUUUAGUGAAUACCACUACUGCUGAACUUGACUUGAAAAGUGGUGCAGUUUCAACGUCUAUUCUGGAUGCAGCUGGAAAUGGUAUCAUCAGAGAGUGUACAGUUUUGUUUAGUUUCAUGAUGUCUUGUCUGCAUGAAGCAACUGUAGAUGGCCGGAAAUCCAUUGCAUUCCCAGCUUUGGGAACAGGAAAACUUCAAUACCCUGCCGAUGAUGUAGCAAAGGUUAUGUUUGACUGUGCAGAAAAAUUCUUUAUGCUGAUGCCACACUCAUCCAUUGAAGAAGUGGUCUUUGUGUUGUACCCUAAAGACAAGU